GGGUUGUGAGGUUAAGCGACUAAGCGUACACGGUGGAUGCCCUGGCAGUCAGAGGCGAUGAAGGGCGUGCUAAUCUGCGAUAAGCGCCGGUAAGGUGAUAUGAACCGUUAUAACCGGCGAUACCCGAAUGGGGAAACCCAGUGUGACUCGUCACACUAUCAUUAACUGAAUCCAUAGGUUAAUGAGGCGAACCGGGGGAACUGAAACAUCUAAGUACCCCGAGGAAAAGAAAUCAACCGAGAUUCCCCCAGUAGCGGCGAGCGAACGGGGAGGAGCCCAGAGCCUGAAUCAGCAUGUGUGUUAGUGGAAGCGUCUGGAAAGGCGCGCGAUACAGGGUGACAGCCCCGUACACAAAAGCGCAUGUGCUGUGAGCUCGAUGAGUAGGGCGGGACACGUGGUAUCCUGUCUGAAUAUGGGGGGACCAUCCUCCAAGGCUAAAUACUCCUGACUGACCGAUAGUGAACCAGUACCGUGAGGGAAAGGCGAAAAGAACCCCGGCGAGGGGAGUGAAAAAGAACCUGAAACCGUGUACGUACAAGCAGUGGGAGCCCCACCACUAAGCCAGUGGUGAACUCCACAUACGCAUCCUUUGCUGAGGAUACGGUUAACGGAGCGAAAGCGACGUUCAACCUCAAAAGAAGCAGAGGGGGCUUAGUGGUGGGGUGACUGCGUACCUUUUGUAUAAUGGGUCAGCGACUUAUAUUCUGUAGCAAGGUUAACCGAAUAGGGGAGCCGGAGGGAAACCGAGUCUUAAUUGGGCGUUAAGUUGCAGGGUAUAGACCCGAAACCCGGUGAUCUAGCCAUGGGCAGGUUGAAGGUUGGGUAACACUAACUGGAGGACCGAACCGACUAAUGUUGAAAAAUUAGCGGAUGACCUGUGGCUGGGGGUGAAAGGCCAAUCAAACCGGGAGAUAGCUGGUUCUCCCCGAAAGCUAUUUAGGUAGCGCCUCGUGAAUUCAUCUCCGGGGGUAGAGCACUGUUUCGGCUAGGGGGCCAUCCCGGCUUACCAACCCGAUGCAAACUGCGAAUACCGGAGAAUGUUAUCACGGGAGACACACGGCGGGUGCUAACGUCCGUCGUGAAGAGGGAAACAACCCAGACCGCCAGCUAAGGUCCCAAAGUCAUGGUUAAGUGGGAAACGAUGUGGGAAGGCCCAGACAGCCAGGAUGUUGGCUUAGAAGCAGCCAUCAUUUAAAGAAAGCGUAAUAGCUCACUGGUCGAGUCGGCCUGCGCGGAAGAUGUAACGGGGCUAAACCAUGCACCGAAGCUGCGGCAGCGACACUGUGUGUUGUUGGGUAGGGGAGCGUUCUGUAAGCCUGUGAAGGUGGCCUGUGAGGGUUGCUGGAGGUAUCAGAAGUGCGAAUGCUGACAUAAGUAACGAUAAAGCGGGUGAAAAGCCCGCUCGCCGGAAGACCAAGGGUUCCUGUCCAACGUUAAUCGGGGCAGGGUGAGUCGACCCCUAAGGCGAGGCCGAAAGGCGUAGUCGAUGGGAAACGGGUUAAUAUUCCCGUACUUGGUGUUACUGCGAAGGGGGGACGGAGAAGGCUAUGUUGGCCGGGCGACGGUUGUCCCGGUUUAAGCGUGUAGGCUGGUUUUCCAGGCAAAUCCGGAAAAUCAAGGCUGAGGCGUGACGACGAGGCACUACGGUGCUGAAGCAACAAAUGCCCUGCUUCCAGGAAAAGCCUCUAAGCAUCAGGUAACAUCAAAUCGUACCCCAAACCGACACAGGUGGUCAGGUAGAGAAUACCAAGGCGCUUGAGAGAACUCGGGUGAAGGAACUAGGCAAAAUGGUGCCGUAACUUCGGGAGAAGGCACGCUGACAUGUAGGUGAAGUGAUUUACUCAUGGAGCUGAAGUCAGUCGAAGAUACCAGCUGGCUGCAACUGUUUAUUAAAAACACAGCACUGUGCAAACACGAAAGUGGACGUAUACGGUGUGACGCCUGCCCGGUGCCGGAAGGUUAAUUGAUGGGGUCAGCGCAAGCGAAGCUCCUGAUCGAAGCCCCGGUAAACGGCGGCCGUAACUAUAACGGUCCUAAGGUAGCGAAAUUCCUUGUCGGGUAAGUUCCGACCUGCACGAAUGGCGUAAUGAUGGCCAGGCUGUCUCCACCCGAGACUCAGUGAAAUUGAACUCGCUGUGAAGAUGCAGUGUACCCGCGGCAAGACGGAAAGACCCCGUGAACCUUUACUAUAGCUUGACACUGAACAUUGAGCCUUGAUGUGUAGGAUAGGUGGGAGGCUUUGAAGUGUGGACGCCAGUCUGCAUGGAGCCGGCCUUGAAAUACCACCCUUUAAUGUUUGAUGUUCUAACGUGGACCCGUUACCCGGGUUGCGGACAGUGUCUGGUGGGUAGUUUGACUGGGGCGGUCUCCUCCUAAAGAGUAACGGAGGAGCACGAAGGUUGGCUAAUCCUGGUCGGACAUCAGGAGGUUAGUGCAAUGGCAUAAGCCAGCUUGACUGCGAGCGUGACGGCGCGAGCAGGUGCGAAAGCAGGUCAUAGUGAUCCGGUGGUUCUGAAUGGAAGGGCCAUCGCUCAACGGAUAAAAGGUACUCCGGGGAUAACAGGCUGAUACCGCCCAAGAGUUCAUAUCGACGGCGGUGUUUGGCACCUCGAUGUCGGCUCAUCACAUCCUGGGGCUGAAGUAGGUCCCAAGGGUAUGGCUGUUCGCCAUUUAAAGUGGUACGCGAGCUGGGUUUAGAACGUCGUGAGACAGUUCGGUCCCUAUCUGCCGUGGGCGCUGGAGAACUGAGGGGGGCUGCUCCUAGUACGAGAGGACCGGAGUGGACGCAUCACUGGUGUUCGGGUUGUCAUGCCAAUGGCACUGCCCGGUAGCUAAAUGCGGAAGAGAUAAGUGCUGAAAGCAUCUAAGCACGAAACUUGCCCCGAGAUGAGUUCUCCCUGAGACUUAGAGUCUCCUGAAGGAACGUUGAAGACGACGACGUUGAUAGGCCGGGUGUGUAAGCGCAGCGAUGCGUUGAGCUAACCGGUACUAAUGAACCGUGAGGCUUAACCUUACAACGCCGAAG
rnacentral:rRNA from 3 species